GACUCUCGGCAACGGAUAUCUCGGCUCUCGCAUCGAUGAAGAACGUAGCGAAAUGCGAUACUUGGUGUGAAUUGCAGAAUCCCGUGAACCAUCGAGUCUUUGAACGCAAGUUGCGCCCGAAGCCAUUAGGCCGAGGGCACGCCUGCCUGGGUGUCGCACAUCGCUGCC
rnacentral:rRNA from 2 species